rnacentral:rRNA from 1 species
UACGUAGGGGGCUAGCGUUGUCCGGAAUCAUUGGGCGUAGAGAGCGUGUAGGCGGUCCGGUAAGUCCGCUGUGAAAGUCGGGGGCUCAACCCUCGAAUGCCGGUGGAUACUGUCGGGCUAGAGUGCGGAAGAGGCGAGUGGAAUUCCUGGUGUAGCGGUGAAAUGCGCAGAUAUCAGGAGGAACACCUAUUACGAAGGCAGCUCGCUGGGACGUAACUGACGCUGAGACGCGAAAGCGUGGGGAGCAAACAGG